AUUUUAAAUUUAUAAAUGUAAUGAAAAUCAGAUGACUUUGGAAUUAAGGAAUAUGUGAAGUAAAAAAUACAUGCUCUUUCUUGGGGAUAUGCUGCUUUUUCCCUUCCUAUAAUCUAAAUUCUUGAUGAGUAUGUAGUCACCCACGUCUUAACUUCUGUAGAACAGUGAGCUAGGGUCUUCCAUGCCAGAAGGGCAGAGAGAUCCUCAUCACAUCUGACCCCACCCUUCAUUGCCUCUCCUUCCCAGGUUGAAAUCCAGGGUGUCUACAUCCCACAGGAUUAUGGAGGGUGUAUGCAUUGUGCACUUGUCACUUAGAGACUCCUACGGUCUGAGAAUGUUAAUUUUCCUUCGUGUCGUCGUGGUAGAGACCCAGAGGUGGCAUUUCAAGUUCCGGGAGUUAUGCAUGAACUGGCUUUCUGGAAUUAAAGGGAAGCAUGAGGAAUUUCACUGCCUUCCAGCAAUUAAAUUGCAUUCAAGAAUUCUACAGUAGCCUUGGUGGUCUGCAACAACAUUUCAGGGAUUAGAUGCUCUAUCUCCUGUCUAACCUUACAGUGGACCUGAGGGGACAUCCUGGUGCAGCAUACACCACAGAUCAUGUAAGAGCUCCCCAGCCUGCAGCCCGGUCUUUCCAGUGAGGAAAUGAGGCCUUACAAGGUCUUGGUUGGGAAGAGAUGAUGACCCAGCU
rnacentral:lncRNA from 1 species